rnacentral:rRNA from 1 species
UACGAAGGGGGCUAGCGUUGCUCGGAAUUACUGGGCGUAAAGGGAGCGUAGGCGGGUCGUCAAGUUGGGGGUGAAAGCCCAGGGCUCAACCUUGGAAUUGCCUUCAAAACUGACGAUCUAGAGUAUGGAAGAGGUAAGUGGAACUCCGAGUGUAGAGGUGAAAUUCGUAGAUAUUCGGAAGAACACCAGUGGCGAAGGCGACUCGCUGGACAAGUAUUGACGCUGAGGUGCGAAAGCGUGGGGAGCAAACAGG